UACGUAGGUGGCAAGCGUUGUCCGGAAUUACUGGGUGUAAAGGGUGAGUAGGCGGCAUGGUAAGCCAGAUGUGAAAGCCUUGGGCUUAACCCGAGGAUUGCAUUUGGAACUAUCAAGCUAGAGUACAGGAGAGGAAAGCGGAAUUCCUAGUGUAGCGGUGAAAUGCGUAGAUAUUAGGAAGAACACCAGUGGCGAAGGCGGCUUUCUGGACUGAAACUGACGCUGAGGCACGAAAGCGUGGGGAGCGAACAGG
rnacentral:rRNA from 1 species